rnacentral:rRNA from 1 species
UGAACGCUGGCGGCAGGCCUACCACAUGCACGUCGAGCGGCUGAAGGGAGCUUGCUCCUGGAUUCAGCGGCGGACGGGUGAGUAAUGCCUAGGAAUCUGCCUGGUAGUGGGGGAUAACGUCCGGAAACGGGCGCUAAUACCGCAUACGUCCUGAGGGAGAAAGUGGGGGAUCUUCGGACCUCACGCUAUCAGAUGAGCCUAGGUCGGAUUAGCUAGUUGGUGGGGUAAAGGCCUACCAAGGCGACGAUCCGUAACUGGUCUGAGAGGAUGAUCAGUCACACUGGAACUGAGACACGGUCCAGACUCCUACGGGAGGCAGCAGUGGGGAAUAUUGGACAAUGGGCGAAAGCCUGAUCCAGCCAUGCCGCGUGUGUGAAGAAGGUCUUCGGAUUGUAAAGCACUUUAAGUUGGGAGGAAGGGCAGUAAGUUAAUACCUUGCUGUUUUGACGUUACCAACAGAAUAAGCACCGGCUAACUUCGUG